GAUGAACGCUGGCGGCGUGCCUAAUACAUGCAAGUCGAGCGAACGGACGAGAAGCUUGCUUCUCUUAUGUUAGCGGCGGACGGGUGAGUAACACGUGGAUAACCUACCUAUAAGACUGGGAUAACUUCGGGAAACCGGAGCUAAUACCGGAUGAUAUUUUGAACCGCAUGGUUCAAAAGUGAAAGACGGUCUUGCUGUCACUUAUAGAUGGAUCCGCGCUGCAUUAGCUAGUUGGUAAGGUAACGGCUUACCAAGGCAACGAUGCAUAGCCGACCUGAGAGGGUGAUCGGCCACACUGGAACUGAGACACGGUCCAGACUCCUACGGGAGGCAGCAGUAGGGAAUCUUCCGCAAUGGGCGAAAGCCUGACGGAGCAACGCCGCGUGAGUGAUGAAGGUCUUCGGAUCGUAAAACUCUGUUAUUAGGGAAGAACAGAUGUGUAAGUAACUGUGCACAUCUUGACGGUACCUAAUCAGAAAGCCACGGCUAACUACGUG
rnacentral:rRNA from 1 species